rnacentral:rRNA from 1 species
CACGUAGGGGGCGAGCGUUGUCCGGAUUUAUUGGGCGUAAAGAGCUCGUAGGCGGUUUCGUAAGUCGGAUGUGAAAACUCCAGCUCAACUUGGAGACGCCAUUCGAUACUGCGAUGACUUGAGUCCGGUAGGGGAGUGUGGAAUUCCUGGUGUAGCGGUGAAAUGCGCAGAUAUCAGGAAGAACACCGACGGCGAAGGCAGCUCGCUGGGACGGUACUGACGCUGAGGCGCGAAAGCGUGGGGAGCAAACAGG